AGGAUGAACGCUGGCGGCGUGCCUAACACAUGCAAGUCGAACGUCCUGUCUCGCAAGAGGCAGGGAGUGGCGGACGGGUGAGUACCACGUGGGUCAUCUACCGUGAGGUGAGGAAUACCGGCGAGAAAUCGCCGACAAGACCGCAUAGGCUCGAUGCAAGUCGAGCAAAGCUCUUUCGAGAGAGGGAGCGCCACACGAGGAGCCUGCGCCCGAUUAGCUAGCUGGUGGAGUAACGGUUCACCAGGGCGACGAUCGGUAGCUGGUCUGAGAGGACGAUCAGCCACACUGGGAUUGAGAACGGCCCAGACUCCUACGGGGGCAGCAGUGAGGAAUUUUCAUCAAUGGGGGCAACCCUGAACGAGCAACGCCGCGUGCAGGAAGAAGGUUUUCGGAUCGUAAACUGCUUUUCUCGGGGAAGAGAACGGACGGUACCCGAGGAAUCAGCCCCGGCUAACUACGUGCCAGCAGCCGCGGU
rnacentral:rRNA from 1 species